GUGGGGUGUGGUGGCACCCACCUGUAAUCCCAGUGACUCUUGGGAGGCUGAGGCAGGAGGAUCACAAAUUCAAGGCCAGCCUAAGCAACUUAGUGAGAUCCUGUCUCAA
rnacentral:sRNA from 1 species